UUCCAUUUAAGAAUGAUGGAGGCCACUGUUCUUGGGGACCUUCAAUGCUGCAGAAAUCUUUUGGUACCCUUCCCCAGAUCUGUGCCUCGAUUCACUCAUUCACCAAGUGGAGGAUGGAUGCAGAAUACAUUUAUUUUAAUUUGUGACUGUCAUUCUUCCUCCUUCAUGAGCAUUUCUUUAAUGGCCCCCUCUUAGGUCUCCCUGUGAAGGAUGUGCAAUACAUCAAUGGUUUUAGAUAUAUUGCUCUCAAUAUCUGUGAUAAAAGCUUUGUUGUCACUAUUUUACCCAUUACAUUUCAUAGCUGUUGUAAACUCCAGACCCUCCAGUUCUCCCAGAUUCAUUUUUAAGUUCACAUUGUACCAUAUAUCCAUAUCUUAGGCAGACAGAAUUGUAUACCUGCAAGUCUUCUGUGUUAUGUGAGAAGUAGAGUAAUUUCAUAUUUAUGAGUAGAAUCUGUGCUAUUCCUUUUCCCUUCACUUCAGUGGGCACCGACAGUUAAAGGGAGUUAUCACUCUGUCAAAAUAACCAUUCUAAGCUUCUUAAAGCCUAUUAAGUUAUUUCCUAAACUCAUUGUAUGGUUUAAAGGUUAUAAGCACUGUCAGAGAGCUUGGUGGUUUUGUGGCUUUGGAACACAGAGAGUUGAUACGCCUUGAGGUUCAUCUUCCUGUCGCUGUCGUGACUCAGAACCACUGAGAAGCCAACCGCUCCAGGUCUCAGAUCCUAUUAGUAGGAGCUGGUAGUUAGAGUCGUAGCUAACCCACACUGGUCUGGAUGUCUCCACUCUCUACUGCUGAUGAAUACCUCUAGGCACUGUUCACCGACUCAUCCCCACCAAGAUAAUGCCUGAGCCCUGGGAGUAAUGGAUGUCUAUCAGUGAGAAAUGAUCUCACAAUGAGAAUAAUUAUCACUUGAAACAUGAAGCCUGUGGUUUGUAACAAAGCACUGGCUAAAUAAAGAUGAUACAUUGGAUGAAAACAGGUUUUGUUGCCGAUGUUCACAAUUAUGAAUUUAUGCAUAAAUAAAUGUACAAACCGAAAAUAUAAAUGACAAUACUCUGAACUGCAAUUUCUACUCUGUUAGGAACUGAUUUCACUUGUUGCGGCUUUAAUUUCACAGUAUGUACAGAUGUAGGAUCUUGACUGGGUAUCCACCCCACUUAUCCCUUACCCUUAAUUUAAGCCUGUUUGCUACAGCAGGAAAAUAAUCCUGCAGCAACAAGAAACGUGAAUUAUUAUGUGGAUUACAAUUAUUUGUUUUUUUUGUCAGGGUUGAUUGUAACGAUUGUCGUUGGGAGAAGGAAAAGAGGACCAAAGUGCAGCGUGGGCUGUGAGAGCUAUAAGCACCAAUGCAAACGGAGAGCACUUAUUUCAUCAGGGCUGUGAGAGCUAUAAGCACCAAUGCAAACGGAGAGCACUUAUUUCAUCAGGGCUGUGAGAGCUAUAAGCACCAAUGCAAACGGAGAGCACUUUUUUCAUCAGAGCUGUGAGAGCUAUAAGCACCAAUGCAAACGGAGAGCACUUUUUUCAUCAGGGCUGUGAGAGCUAUAAGCACCAAUGCAAACGGAGAGCACUUAUUUCAUCAGGGCUGUGAGAGCUAUAAGCACCAAUGCAAACGGAGAGCACUUUUUUCAUCAGAGCUGUGAGAGCUAUAAGCACCAAUGCAAACGGAGAGCACUUUUUUCAUCAGGGCUGUGAGAGCUAUAAGCACCAAAGCAAACUGAGAGCACUUUUUUUCUAACUGGAUAAUGGAAGACUUCAGGGGAGUAACAGUCCAAAUCUCAGAUUUUUCCAUGUAAACAGGAGUUAGAUGUGGAAUGUGGAUGAUGAAACUGUGGAGCUGGAAGAAGCCAGCUUGAGGACAUGUCCUUUGGGAAAAGGCUUUCUUCCGGCACUGGAGGAUUGCAUGUCUACACACUUCCCUCUUGUAACAAGUAUUUUGCUGCACCUGCGAUAACAUCUGCAAAUCUGUGUACGCGACCAAUGAACUUUAACAACAAAGGAAUUUCGUUUUCGGAAUUUCGGGUUUCACUUUCACUUGGGAUAGACAGAUAAGACUAUUUUCAAGGAAAUAUUCAAAUCUGUUAUACAUUCACUGUAUAUUAAUAUGGUAAUUUUUUUAAUGAGUUUUAAGUUAUUUGCACCUAGAAUAACACCACUAACUGUCAAUAUGUCCUCCUACUACACAUACUACACAUGAAUAGAAUAAAAUGUUUUUUAUCUGUGUGUUCCUCA